rnacentral:lncRNA from 1 species
UUUUUCCAAAUUUCCGUCAUACCGCUCUAAUGCAAUCGCACAAUGUUCAAAGCACUCAACUAGUCGCUGAUUGGCCAUUUAAUCCUCAUCAACAACAAAAGGUUUUUUGUUUUUAUUUUUCACUCGAUAGGAUCGACUGCAUGAAUUAAAUGAUGUCACUGUUUUUUGUCAUAAAAAGGAAGAUAUCUCCUAAAACAUUAUCCUUGAAAAUGUAGAGACAACUAGGAAGACAACUAGAAAUAGUCCAAAAAAAUCUCUACAAGCACCCAAAACAUAAUGUUCUUAACCUUGUCAAUGAAUAGAUUAGUUAUUAAGUAUGAAACUGACACAGAUACCGACAUGUCGACACCCGUAAUAAUUUGAGAAAUAUAAAUAAUCGAAUGUCAGACACCGGACAUGCUUUUAAUUGUUAGUGCUACAAAGAGUAGUAAGGCACUUUAAAGUAUAAAAACAAAGGUAUGUUUCACAAGUUCAAAGGCAAAAGAAGUUAUUUGAAAGAACAAAAGAAUUACAAUUUUGCUCAAAUUCACCCAAAAGAACAAUUUUCCUCUCCCUAUGCUAAAUCAUCGAAACCAAUAAGCAAAUAAGGUCAUCAACAUCAAAGUUUAUAUAUAAUAACAGAAUUACAAUGAAUAUUCAAACAGCUUUCACCAAAUCAACCCAAAAGUAUAAUAUUUCAAAUAAGACAAGAAUCAAAAGAACAUCCAGUCAUCAAUCAUGUUAGGUUCCUUCCUAUGUUACAAACAACAACAUCAACCUCUAAAUCUUCCAUUUUCCGCUUCUUUUCUAUGAAUUUCCCAGCAACAAAGCAUAUUACAAAACAACAUACCAAUCAAAAUAAUAGCAAAACAAAACCAUCAAAGAAAAUCAUAAAAUUUCAACAACCCAAUUCCGAAAUCUUAAUUCAGAAUCACAAUAGCGUCUCAUCGAGCUGACCCAAAAUCAAAAUUGACAUACCCCACCUUAAAAGAUUCGAACUUUUGUAUCCGAAAUUGCAAAGUCAAAAGGAUUGAACAACUGGGGCACGUGAAUUCCCUAUUCUAUUUGCNNN